CCUACGGGAGGCAGCAGUGGGGAAUAUUGGGCAAUGGGCGCAAGCCUGACCCAGCAACGCCGCGUGCAGGAUGAAGGCUUUCUGGUUGUAAACUUCUUUUAAUAGGGAAGAGCAUCAGACGAUACCUCUUGCAUCAGCCACGGCUCACUACUUACCAGCGGCCGCGGUAGUACGUAGGGGGCAAGCGUUGUCCGGAUUUCCUGGGUGUAACGGGCGUGAAGCCGGGAAGAUAAGUACGAUGUGAAAUCCCGUGGCUCAACCGUGGAACUGCGUUUGAAACUGUUUUUCUUGAGUACCGGAGAGGUCAUCGGAAUUCGUGGUGUAGCGGUGAAAUGCGUAGAUAUAAGGAAGAACACCAGUGGCGAAGGCGGAGGACUGGAGGGCAACUGACGGUGAGGCGCGAAAGCGUGGGGAGCAAACAGGAUUAGAUACCCGGGUAGUC
rnacentral:rRNA from 1 species